GCUGCUCCCGGCUGCCUCGGGGGCAUCAGCCUGCAUGUCAGUGCACACCAGCCAGUCCCUGGCGAUGGACUGUGGGUACCCGGGGUGCACCUCCAGCUCGCUGUCCAGCACCUUCCAGUACUCCUUGCCCUUGAAGAAGUAACUUGCACCUGCAAAGAGACCAAAACCCAAAGACAAGGUGAGCGGCCGUGGGUACUGUCCCAGAGGAAGGGCAUAGGAGCACUUGGGAGCAGCAGAAGGGCAUUCCCACCCCAGCUGAGCCCUGGGGAGUGGAGGCACAUGAGAUAUCACUGCUUGCUGUCAAUAUCCUCUCUCGCUGCAGGGAGGAAUGCUCCAGAGGGUAAUGGUGUGGCUGGCCAGGAUCUCUCACACCAGCCAGGAGCCACCAGCAGUUGGAGGUGGACGGUGAGGUGCGGCCUGUUACGUGCAGAGUCCUAGAGCAGAUGCACCUCCUGGUACUGUGGGUGUGUAGGGUCAAGGCCCUGUGAACCCGCAGCUGGACAAGCCAUACACAACUCUCCUUCUUGUAAUAGGGCAUGGGGGAAGAAACCACUGAGAAAUCUCAUCCUCAGAAAAUAAGUCGUAACUCUGGGAAAACAUCUUUAAAAGUAUUUUCUGUCUGCAUCCUCGUAUAUCUAGCUAAAAAUCCAAUGACAGCAAAACCAGCGAGGACCAAAUCAGCCCAUACUAAGAAAAAAUCACUGCAGAACAUCAUCAACUGUGUUCUUUCAAUAAAGUGCAAUAAUUAUCCCCCCACCC